GCAGUGGGGAAUAUUGCACAAUGGGCGAAAGCCUGAUGCAGCAACGCCGCGUGAGGGAUGACGGCCUUCGGGUUGUAAACCUCUUUUAGUAGGGAAGAAGCGAAAGUGACGGUACCUGCAGAAAAAGCACCGGCUAACUACGUGCCAGCAGCCGCGGUAAUACGUAGGGUGCAAGCGUUGUCCGGAAUUAUUGGGCGUAAAGAGCUCGUAGGCGGUUUGUCGCGUCUGCUGUGAAAUCCCGAGGCUCAACCUCGGGCUUGCAGUGGGUACGGGCAGACUAGAGUGCGGUAGGGGAGAUUGGAAUUCCUGGUGUAGCGGUGGAAUGCGCAGAUAUCAGGAGGAACACCGAUGGCGAAGGCAGAUCUCUGGGCCGUAACUGACGCUGAGGAGCGAAAGCAUGGGGAGCGAACAGGAUUAGA
rnacentral:rRNA from 1 species